rnacentral:rRNA from 1 species
CACCAGCUCCACAAGUGGCAAUCCUAUUUAUUUGGCCUAAAGCGUCCGUAGCUGAUUAAGUAAAUCUCUUGUGAAAUUGUUAUGGCUCAACCUAACAGCGUGCAGGAGAGACUGCUUAACUAGGGACCGGGAGGAGUCAGAGGUAUGCUAGGGGGAGCGGUAAAAUGUUAUAAUCCUUAGUAGACCACCUGUGGCGAAGGCGUCUGACUAGAACGGGUCCGACAGUGAGGGACGAAAGCCAGGGG